rnacentral:rRNA from 1 species
ACGGCAGCACAGGGGAGCUUGCUCCCUGGGUGGCGAGUGGCGGACGGGUGAGGAAUACAUCGGAAUCUGCCCCAAUCGUGGGGGAUAACCUCGGGAAACCGGGACUAAUUCCGCAUACGACCUACGGGUGAAAGCAGGGGACCUUCGGGCCUUGCGCGAUUGGAUGAGCCGAUGUCGGAUUAGCUAGUUGGCGGGGUAAAGGCCCACCAAGGCGACGAUCCGUAGCUGGUCUGAGAGGGGGAUCCCCCACACUGGUACUGAGACACGGACCAGACUCCUACGGGAGGCAGCAGUGAGGAAUAUUGGACAAUGGGCGGGAGCCUGAUCCAGCCAUGCCGCGUGCAGGAAGACUGCCCUAUGGGUUGUAAACUGCUUUUUUACGGGAAGAAACACCCCCACGUGUGGGGGCUUGACGGUACCGUACGAAUAAGGAUCGGCUAACUCCGUGCCAGCAGCCGCGGUAAUACGGAGGAUCCAAGCGUUAUCCGGAAUCAUUGGGUUUAAAGGGUCCGUAGGCGGGCGUCUAAGUCAGUGGUGAAAUUCUGCAGCUCAACUGUAGGACUGCCAUUGAUACUGGUCGCCUUGAAUCGUUGUGAAGUGGCUAGAAUAUGUAGUGUAGCGGUGAAAUGCUUAGAUAUUACAUAGAAUACCGAUUGCGAAGGCAGGUCACUAACAACGCAUUGACGCUGAUGGACGAAAGCGUGGGGAGCGAACAGGAUUAGAUACCCUGGUAGUCCACGCCGUAAACGAUGGAUACUAGCUGUCCGGCCUGCAUUGGUAGGCUGGGUGGCCAAGCGAAAGUGAUAAGUAUCCCACCUGGGGAGUACGUUCGCAAGAAUGAAACUCAAAGGAAUUGACGGGGGCCCGCACAAGCGGUGGAGCAUGUGGUUUAAUUCGAUGAUACGCGAGGAACCUUACCAGGGCUUAAAUGUAGUCUGACAGGGGUGGAAACACCCUUUUCUUCGGACAGAUUACAAGGUGCUGCAUGGUUGUCGUCAGCUCGUGCCGUGAGGUGUCAGGUUAAGUCCUAUAACGAGCGCAACCCCUGUUGUUAGUUGCCAGCGAGUAGUGUCGGGA